UACGGAGGAUCCAAGCGUUAUCCGGAUUUAUUGGGUUUAAAGGGUGCGUAGGCGGCUUUUUAAGUCAGGGGUGAAAGACGGUAGCUCAACUAUCGCAGUGCCCUUGAUACUGAAGAGCUUGAAUACACUAGAGGUAGGCGGAAUGUGACAAGUAGCGGUGAAAUGCAUAGAUAUGUCACAGAACACCAAUUGCGAAGGCAGCUUACUAUGGUGUCAUUGACGCUGAGGCACGAAAGCGUGGGGGAUCAAACAGG
rnacentral:rRNA from 1 species